UGAAGAUGACAUGAGAAUGUCGAAACAUGUCUUGUAAAUUUAAACUCAAAGUUGUUGUUUCUUUUUUGAAAGGUGAGGCUCUCAAAACCAAAGUGAUAAUUGUGGUAAUAUUACAUAAGGAGUAUCACGAACUCCCACAAUGACAUAUCAUCACGCACUCCUUAGUGUAGUUUAUUAGAGAGACUGGGUUCGAAAUAGCGAUUACAGAGUGGACUUACACACUAAAACAGCCAACAGCGUAAAAAAAAAAACCAAACAAACAGCCAAUAUUAUUUCGUUGCUGGCUAUGCCAUAUAGAGCAGAAGAAGCGGAGAGGAGUAAACGUUUUGGUCGUUUUUAGUAGAGGAAAAGAGGCUGCUCGGGUGAUUUGUUUCCGCCGUUCGCUGUUUUGUUGUUUACGAUCGACAGUCAUUUACUGCAAAAUGAAGGCACGAAGGCGAUUAUUUAGCCUGGUUCUCAGACGAUCUAAGGGCGCUCUUGUGAUUUUGACGGAUAUUUGAGCAAGUGGAUUCAGACUCUGAGAUUUAGGCUAAUAUCGACUCAUAAGUUACGAGACAUUCAUCAAUUCUGUGGGUUUCUUUAUAUUUAUAGCAACAAAAAUCUGGUUGUGCUGGGAAAUGCUUAUAGAAGCCAUGGAUCUUGCAGAGAUGUGCAUGAUACGUACAAAUCGUCAAGGCGACAACUCGCUGCAAUAAAGGCAAUUCGUGCUGGAUUGGCUAUGGACGCAUGCCAAACCAAAUGAAAGGUACAGUACAUCUUAUGUUGUCCUUUAGUUGAACCAACAAGUUUCUUCUCGUAGAUUGUCUAAAUCAUAAAUCAGACUAAAUUAAAUAAAACGUAAUUGUAACCAUCCCUUUAUAACGUGAUUCCUCAUGUUUGUUUCCUGGUGACCUUCAAAACAUCCCUUAUUAUCUUAGUGGACAAAGGGAAGCCUCGAUCGAGUACAAAUCGUUAAGGUAUGUUGUACUGCUCAUAAGGAAAUGAUGUUUGAAAAGAGAUACAUUUCAAUGAAUAGUUUAUCUUAAUAAUUUAUCAUUAAUGAUUUGUGACAAUCUACUGGCACUAUGGGGUGGGGAUUGCAGUGAUCAUGAAAAAAAAAAUUCCUUCAAAUCCAAUUUGUCUUUACAGGUAAAACUAAAUUUCUUAAUGGUUUGACACACUCAUGAAGCUGUUGACCAGAUGUUUAACGAGUAGGAAUCAGAGUUUCAUUUUCAUUGAAUUAAGUUAAGAGGAAAACUCUCUUUGAGAAUAGUUACAUUGCAGAACCAUCUUAAUAAUGCUGCCGAAUACUUAGUCAAAGUUUAACUGCUGGGAUGAUACUAUUGCCAGCUUCAAAAUUCUAAUUUUACACAUAUGUUGUUGUUAAUUGAUAGUGAUAUUAAAUUGUGUCUUACGGGCUUUCUGAAUUUCUGGUAAAGAAGGACACAAGAACCUUUAAAGAGCUUAUGACCUCCUUUGAGAGUUGUUACACCCCAACUCCAAAGGCUGUAAAGGUUGAGCAUGUUUUUGCUCUGAAGGAGUGGAUGUCACCCUUUUCAACUGCACUCCACAACAUCUCAAAUCCUCAUGCUUUUAAAUUUACAAAAGCUCCUUUGGGAAAAGUCGUUAUGCACUUACAAGAACUGGGGGAGUGACAAAGAGGAAAACUGGAAACCGGUAAACCCUGAUCCAGAACAGUGGUUAACUGUAAUGAAAGUAAGUGGAAAUAUCUGCUGUACAAUGGAGAAUAAAUAAAAACAAAAAAUCUCAACUAUAGUUGCCAUUAAUAAAUAUACUCUGUUCAUACACUGAAGAUAUCUGUUUUGCUCAGUUGGAGUGUGAUGAUCUUACAUUUUAAUUCUUAGCAUUAUACAAGACCAAUAAUAAUAAUAAUAAUAGUAAUAAUAAUAAUAAUAAUAUUAGCAACAAUGACAAGUGCUAUUAGAAAAGCUGCAAACUGAUCUCUGUUAUAGCUUGAUGGUAUUACUGUAGGUAAUACUAAUUAGAAGCUUAUUUAUUGUUGAAGUCAUUUCAUUCUCCACUGUCUGAUUCAUGUCCUUCAAAUAUUAAAUUUCUGGGAUAAGUGUUUGUGCUACAAUUUUUUUAAGCUUGCUUUUCAUUAUUUUUGUCAGGCUGAUGCAGAAAUAAAUGUAGAUGUCCCCCCAGAUUAUGUUGCUCCAGAUACAGAGAAGCUUGAGCUUCAAUGGCUCAGAUCAGAAAUUGAAAAGUAUUUCAAAGGAUUGUUUCUGGAACAACAUAAAGAAGAUUUGGCAUCACUACUUGACCCUGAACAUACCAGAUGGCAUCCACCAAAAAGGACAGUUACUUAGCCAUUGAAAGAAAUCAUUACAAACAAGGAAAGAGUUAAAGAAAGACAAAAACAAUUGGAGGCUGCUGGGAAUAGUGUGGGUUUUCUGGGGCAACUGAAAAACCUGAUGGUGUCCCUGAGGAUGUGGAUGAUGUGGUCAGAACUCAAGUUGCUCCUGUGCCAGAGAUGUACAGUGGAGCUUAUAGGAGGCAGACGGCUCAGCCCGUGGUCACCGAGGUAGAUAACUUGAAGGAGUUCUGCCAGGUAGUAUUGU